UUUUUUUUUUUUUUUUUUUUGUAAAUGCACUAAAAUUGUCUGGCUCAAUUCUAAAUCAAGAAACUAUUUGUAUAUGCUCAAUUGCGGUGGUUCAACAAUGUAAAACUUUCGUUGCUUGGAGUCUCAACUGUGUCGUGACAAAAAGAGUGGGGAAAAUGAAAGGUAAAGUUUGGUGAACCCUUUUCUUUUUUCUUUUUAAUUAUAUUUUGGCUGAAUGGAAAAGGCGUGGUCCGCCCUCUAGACCAGCCCUUUUUGAAAAGCAUGACCUUGGAGCAAUCAUGGAGAGGAUCAUUUGACGGCAUGGUGGUGGCUGGUUGGUAACGUUAGCAAUUAGCAUCCACAACAGCUCAAUUUGGUGAGCAGUGGAUUAAUUCGAUUCAAUCAUUUUAUAUUCAUAUAAAAAUAAAUUUAUAUUUAAACUCAAAUUUUAGUAGGUGUUAAAUAUAUAUAUUUAAAUUUCUUAUCAGUCUAAUAAUAAUAAAAUGCUGUUAUUUGAUGUCAAACAAUAUGGAAAAAUAUAUAUAUAAAAACAAGUAGAAUUUCAAUUGACUCAUAGAUUUUUUUUUUUUUUAUUAAACGGUAAUAUCUACUCUACUCCUAUUCAUAUUUUAACCUAUGCUAGAGGGAGGGGAUGCCCAACUGAACUAAUUGGAAAAUGACAGAAAUUAAACUACGAUCGAACUAGAUGAGUGCACUAUGCAAUUGUAUGCAUUUUGAAGAAGCCACAUAUAGUGGCACAAUGAUGAUGAGAGGCAAAAUUUAAACUCUUGACCUCCCACCCCACCAAAACUUAAAAUCUUUAGUGGUGGCCAACAGCAAAAAGGGCCAUUGGUUGAGUCAUAGAUUUGUAAUUGGAUGUACUCAUACACACACGCAUUUUUUAAAUGGAUAUAAAUGAGUUGGUUUAUUUUGACCCAUUUAUUAAAUUUGUAUAAAUGGAUUAAUAAAAUUAUAUCCAUUAUUACUCAACUAUGAUCCGUUUGAACCACCCAUUUUGACACUUCUAAGCUGGUAACCACUGCACGAAAUUGCUGCUACAAAUGUGAUAAUACUAGUAGUAAAAAUUCAUCUAAGCCAUCAAAUAAAGAAAGAAAAACCAGUGGGUUUUGUAGUUAGUAGUAAUUCAGAAUAGCUAAAUGUCAUUUUAAGCUAACCUACUGAUUAAAUUGAAGUCCCCAUAACAUAAAGAAAGAAAGAAAGAAAGACUUUUGACAGUUUGACCCACUGUCAUAUUGGGGUUUAGCAUCCGUCAAGCUAACCCCCCCCCCCCACCCCACCCCACGGGGGGCGGCUCUGCUUUGAUACUUGAUACCUAUAUUACGUCAAAAUGAUGAUACUAAUUUGUAUCAGCAGUGAGAGCUUUUAGUCAAACAAUCAAGUGUAGUAGUUUGUAUGAAUGAGAUAAUCACAACUAGCACAAGACAGAAGAGUUUUUCUUGCUUCCUAUUACUAACUCCCUCCUCUCCCUCUUAAUAAGAAUCUAUCAGAAACAGUAAUAAUAGAAACAUGGAGAGGACCCACAAACAAUUCGAGCAAGUCAAGCGCAGUCUGAUUAUUUCACCGAUCUGCUUCCAAAUUGUGGGACUCGACUCGCAAAAUCCAAACUCCUACCGUGAUUGGGGAGACAGUCCUCAUACAAUGCUAACUAACUCGUAAUUUAAUUCAAUCAGUGCCGCAAAUGGUGGUGAUGGAAGUGAAGGGUCCCACCCCUCUUAUCCUAGAACGGCUACUACUGGAAUUCAAUUCACACCGCACCCAUUGAUUUUGAUCUACUAUUGCUUGCUGCUUGAUGCUCUCCAUCUGGCCCAGAGCCCAAUUACCAAGUCUACCGGAUGGACUCUAAAACACAUCUACUCUGGAUUUUGGGCCGCAGAAGGACUUACUCAAAGUCUACGACCAUAUAUUUGGGCUUCUCCCCUCUCGGUAACAGCCAGUCGGGUAUUGGGUUUAUGGCGCUCGUUUUAGCUUUGCUUGGCUUUAUUGUAGCAUUUUCCGAGCAACGCUAUAAAGUGGGCUUCUUCGCUUUUUCUCUUGUUCACUGAUAACUUCCAUCCCCUAGAAAAAACUUUUUUUUUUAAUAGGAGAAGGCGAGAUUUAAAAUGAUAAGAAGUGAAAGAGAAAAAUUUGAAUUUUUAAGAUCUCUAAUUAUUGAAAUCUCGAUCUUAGUAACCAAACCAAAUUUAAUUACGUAUAAAAUUAUUCAAAGGAAACAAAAUCUUAAACAUCAAUUUAAUCAUCUAGUUGAAGCUCGUGAGUCAUCGGGAAACAAAAUCUGAAAUUCCCAAUUCACAUUUAAGGCUUUUAUAAGAACUUAGGAACGGUGUGUAAAUCUCUCGAAGUGUAAGAAAUUGAGAGACACAAACAAAGCGUGAUUUAUCCAAAUUAGAGUCCUUUUGAAUUACAAUUUUUUGAAAAAAUUAGUGUAGUAUAUGAGAUUAAAUGGUAAUUAAAAAUAUAUAAAAUGAAUAUUCACUUAAAAUUUUAAAAAAAAAAAAUUCCCCAAAAUUUAGCAAUCCGCCCUGGCUCUGAAGACUGAAGAGGGUAGCGUACACCGUACAGUGUGGAUGUGUGGGUGGAAAAAAACCUUCAACGGUUUCAGAUAGCGGCCGCCGCAUUCCGAUACCCGGACUUCGAUGCUUAUUAACUGCGAGAUUAGACGUGGGUAGUAUAAUUAGUUAGCAGUGUGUUAUGGCCAAUUUUCAAGAAAUGACGGCUCAGAUUAGAGGAAUUAAUCAAUUAAUGCAUAUUUCGAAGGGAGGUUGUACUGGAUAAGCACGAUUUCCCUCCUCAUUUAACUCCAUCCGCCUCGUUAAUUGUUGUGUAACCUACUCCUUAAAUGAUCCAACAAUUUUGGAAUUCAUGCAUUAAUCUCAUACAUCAGGUAAGGUUAAUAUGCAUGAUAAGCCACUCAUCCAUCUAUUCUCAGCUUUAACCAAUUCUAUCUUCUUCUCUAUUUUUUUUCCCCCUGGUUUUACUGUUGACAAUCUGGAAAUUCUUUUCGAAUUGAAUAUUUUAAAGGGAAAACAUUUACAUAGACAUGGUCGCUUUAAUUUAGACGGACCACGGGUUGGACUUUUGACCAUGCAAAGACAUGCAUAUUGAUGCUUUUUUUUUUGUUUUUAAAUUCAAAGAUAUUUAUGGAUAAAAAAAACCAUUAAUCUUAUUCAAAAAAUGCAAAGAACAUACUGGAUUUAUUUGGAUUGAGAUGAUUUCAGAUAAAAUAAUUUAUUUCACUAAUUCUAAUCAUCUUUUUAUCUUCUCGAUCACCAACUGUCUACUGAUCGGCUGGAAUGCAUAGUUAGACAUCUGAGCCGUCUUUUUUUCUUCUUUUUUUUUUUUGGCUUGUAAAAUUUAGAGUUGAACAGAGUCAAAAAUCUAUUUUUUUUUUUAAAUUAAAAUGUAGUAGUAGACUAGUAGUAAUAAUGUACAUGCACUUUUUGGAAUGUACUUGGGAGUUUGGCAUGUAUGUUCAUUCGUGUUUAACAUUAUAAAGCAUUAAAGAGACAUUGCAUGAUGCAGCCCCUUCUGUAAUUGGUAAUUGGUAAUUGUUCACCAUUAAUGCCUUAUUUAAGUUGAUUCCAUAAUAUCCCUCCUGUAACUCCCAUGAUCAUCUGCACGAACUCCAAUUUUUCUCCACCACAAUUUAUACGUACCAUGUUAGCUACUUCUUCAGCUUUUCCCCCAGCCCUGCUAGCAUUCCCUUGCGCAGAAUGAAUCCCCCAGCCCUCAGCGUGGUAUACCAGCUGGAGAACCUCCUUGCAUCUGAUGGAUCUUUAUAUUUCGAAGAACAACCACCUUCAGGGUACGUAAGACUGAGGAUGGAUGUCACAAAAAUUAUGAAUCUACUAGCUAUUUUGAUCGAUGUGUCUAGCUAUUUUACUUGUUGACGUAAUUUUUCACGAUCUUCUUAAUAUAUAUGCAUUUCUUGCUUUCUUGCAGAGCAUGGGAACAGUCAUACCUUGCGUUUCCUGAAAGCCUGGGCCAAUGUCCAUCGGGCAUAUGUAACUGUAAAGAGCCAUUCCAUGCUUGGAAAUGGAAGAAUAAUAGCAUUCCAUGCUUGGAAAUGGAAUUCAAGGAUUUUGAAGACAUUUGUGGGGAUUUUGGGUGGCACUCACCGCCAGACGUCAAAGAACCAUUUUUUGAGGGAGACGUCAAUGUUGUCGAUGCUAAACCGCUGAAUGCAGCUGGAGAGAUACGUGAUCAAGCGCUGCUCGAGAAUGGUGAGACUGUUUUUGCCGAAGCAUCUGGAGGAAAUGCGGUGUGCUCGAGAUCGUCAGAGCCCUUGGUUUCGGACGACGGGUUGGUAAGUGGGAGGUACAAGUCAUCGGCGCUUGAGGUGGAUGAGAUUCAAAAGUACUUUGAUGUUCCAAUUACAAAAGCAGCUAAGGAAUUGAAGGUUGGCCUCACUGUCCUGAAGAAGCGAUGCAGGGAACUCAACAUCAGGCGCUGGCCACACAGGAAAAUCAAGAGCUUGAAGUCGUUGAUUGACAGUGCUAAGGUACCAUCCAGGCUAGCUGCAUGCAGUACUCCAUCCUGAUUAGUACUGAAUCCUGAACACUGAAUGGAUAAAGGAAUUUAUUUAUUUUUUUUUAAAGAAAAACAGAGGACGGAAUAAAAGUUCCUCUCGUUAAUUCCUCCUCCUCACCUUCUAAUAAAACAACCCAGAAAACAGUAUGGAAACUGUAGUAUGGUUAAGUAUUCAAACGGGAAUUACUGAAGUUUUAAAGAAUGUUGCAGUAACCUUUUGAAUUCUUGUAGGAGUUGGGAUUGACAAGUGAGAUUGAAAUGCUGGAAGAGCACAAAAGAAUGUUAAAGGUGCUUCCCGAGAUGGAACUGACUGAAAGAACCAAGAAACUCAGACAAGCAUGCUUCAAAGCCAAUUACAAGAAAAGAAGGGCAAUGGCUGCUGCUGCCAUGGCUUGACUCUACCCGUGAUUUUUAGUUUCCUUUAGAUUUCAGAACGUAGGAUUUAUCUUUUAGAUUUUGGAUCUUAGUUUCCCUUUAGAUUUUCGAAUGUAGGAUUUGGUUCAGUUUGUCUUUUGAAUUGAAUAUUCCGAAUUAGCUUUUUAUUCAUAUUGCUUGCUUGCUUGCUUGGGACAUUCUGGUUGAAUUCCUUGUUCCUCCUCUUGACAUGGAUAUGAACUGCACAAGGUCCAGUAAGUAAAACCAUCGUUUCUUACCAAAGAAAAAAAAUACCAUCAUUGAUCUCCUGAUGCACAAACAGGACAUCGAUCUAGAAAUUAAAAUGCUAGUACUGGAUGAAUGUAGAGGUUCAGGUUCAGUGAACAAUUCAUAUAUCCAGCCAUAUAUGUACUCGAAUAUAUAUCAUGUUUGUGCAUGAAGAGAGAUUAGAUUUUUCUGGUUAAUUCCUCAUCUUGUUCGUAGUUUGUACACGUGCAUGAAUAUAGCCAAUAGACACGUAUACGGCCCAAGAUAUGCAAUGAUUUAAGUUAGUAUACGGUCCAAUAGACACGUAUACGGUCCAAGUUAGUUUGGGCUUACUCUUAGAUUGAGCAAGUACUUGAGGUAGGAUUGGAUUGGGCUUAGUCUUAAAUUAGCUUGGAGAGAAGAAAAUUUCCAUUGGUUUCUUCUUCUUCUUUCUUUGCGCUGUUCAAAUCGUGCCAUCCGGUUAAACACGUCAGAGAAUAGGAUAUGGAUACAUUUCAUGGAACUCUCAAGAAGUUCAUGUGCAAGUCAUACUGUCGUAGUAGACUAAUAAAAGGACAAAAGUACAUUUUUGAGUCAGGUAUGGAGAGGAUUAAUAUACAUACAUAUGGAGGGUGGGCAGCAUCCAUCCAUGAUAGUGUCAGCAAUUUUGAUAUGCGAUUUUGUUUGAUUGUACUAGAUACAAAAAUCCUGCUACAUGGGAACAAAAAUAUGAAUUUUUAGUUUUUCCCCAUAAUCAGGAUCAAGAAAUCCGAUGAGGACGUGAAAUUAAUGGUGGCCUUUCGGUAGAGAUAUAGUAGGUGAAGUUAAGGAACCCCAAACGGCACAGGCAGGUUGCAUAUUCCAUUUCCUUCUCUUUGGACAGAGUACUGAAGCCAGCUGCCGGAGAUUCCCAUUUGAUUUCAGCCGACUGUUUGAUCCUUCUUUUGUCCUUGUCUUCGUCUCCACGGGAGCACUUGCUUGAAGCUCCCAUAAAUGCCGGCCUACAGCGGUAUUCUACUGAAUUAGAUCCAAUAUUGUUUUCUUUAAUUAACAAUUAGCUAGACGUAAAAAUACACACAACGUUAUACUUCUAGACGAUGUCCCAGUAUAUUAAACAGGAGGGAUUCAUGUAAAUUAGCAAAAAUAAAGUAGAAAAUCAGAAGCAAGAAUUUUUAGUUUCCAAAUGUAGAUCAAAGAUCAACUAGCAGGGAAGUUAACAGUUGAUCACAAGGAAACUAAAAUGGAUUGUAUAUAAUAUGUUGAAGAGGGUUGACAGACACUUACGAUGAGGUUGGAGCUGGCAUGAGAGAAACUCGAGAAGCUGCUUCUCCUCUUGAUUGUCCCACGACUUGUUGAAGCGAAAGAAGUACAACCAAAACUGUGAUCAUAUCCAGCAGAGAAGGAGAAACUGCCAUCAUUGGUAGUAGCGUUGUUCUCCUUGUAGCUCCCCCAUUUCCAAGAAGCGAAUCUCUCCUUAUCAUUGAUCACCUUUCUUUUCCCAACAACUUCAUCAAUGGCAUCAUGACGAUGUUGUCGGUACUUAUUGACAUCUCUAAAAAUUUCAUCCUCCAGGCUCCUGAAAGACCCUCUAGUUUUAGGCAAAGAAAAUGCGGAGCUGCGAGAGAAGGAUGGGCCGCCAGCGCCAUGAGGAUAAGGCCCGUCGAGCACCGUCGUGGGAGAAGAAUCGUUCGUGACUGGAAAUAGUUGUUUACUAGGAGGAUGAUGGAUGAUAUUGUGAGGAGCAGUACUAGUAUUAUUCUUGUUAUUCAACAGCCGGGGCGGGAGGUCUAGACAUCUGGCUACAGAAGAAUUCUUGUCUUUAACGGCGGCGGCCGGGGAAGACGUGGGUCUGAAAUCGGGUCUGAGCUUCCCCGGCACCUCCUCCCAUUGGAAUGGAAUUGAUGCUGCUGAAGUAGUGACGGGUGGAGUGAACAUCACUGGUGGCGGCUGUCUUUGCUUGCUUGGGAGUUUAUACAAGGAAAGCUUUGGAGUACUGGUUGGACUUGCUGCUUCAUUUUCGGUCUCCAAAUCCAAACUGAUCAUCUAUCUGCAGCAAAUGUUUUACUGGAUUCCUCCUCGAUCGUCUCUCUAAAUUUCUUGACCUUCUUAUGCAUUCAGAUUGGGGGGGAGGGGGAGAGGGUGCCUGAAAACUGAAAUGUGGAAUGCGAGGGAGAGACAGAGAGAGAGAGAGAGAUUUAGCUGGGAAGCGGGCAGGUCUAAAACGCUCCAGGCGCUUCUUAUUCACGAGUUAUUUAUUUUCAAUGAAAGAAACGGACGGAAAAGUUUCCAAUUAAAAGCCAAAUUGACUGAAUGCAAGAGGAGCUGGGUGAAUUGACAAACCAAACUAUCAUACAGAAGGCACAACAACAGACGAUCUUGAAUUAGUCAGCAGCCACACUCCGCUGUAGCAAUGCAACGGUCACAGACUACUACUAGUACUACUAGUCUACGAGAGAGAGUAUAAUAAGGAAUUUUACGACCAAAACAUAUAUAGAUGAAGAGACAAUACGAGACCAAAACAUAUAUAGAUGAAGAGACAAUGCGAGCCCCCGCGGGUUGCUCGGACGGGGUUCGAGCCCGUUGUUGACUUGUUUGGUGUGGAAUGGGGCCUCCUCUCCCGGACAGUAGUGGGCUCUGUUUUCAAACUCGGGCCGGAUCGGCGGUCGAACCGGGAACCGGUCAGGUAGCCGGUCCGAGUCACAUUAAAAAACCGGAAAUUUAAGACCCGAUCAAAGCCGGUCAAAAAUCGGGUUUGACCGGGUUUGACCCGGUUUGACCGGGAAAAAACCGGUUUUUCCGGUUCAACACUAAUUUUUUAAAAAAAAAUUCAAACGUUUUAAUAUUAUGUUUUGGCCCCCUAAAUUGUUAAAACUUAUUGAUAUACCUCAAAUAUUUGAUACUUUAUAAAUAUUGUCCUAAAAUUUGAUGUUAUUUUUCAAUUAAAUUCAUAAUUUUAAUUCUAAACUUGUUAAUAUUUAUUAAAUAAUAUAAAUUGCUACUUGAUUGUUCUAAUUUCUUUGUAUUUUUUUGUUAAAUAUAUUUGAAACAUCAAAUAUAUAUGAAUAUACCUUUAUUAAUAUCAAUAUAUUAUUAGAUAUUAUAUAUAUAAUAUUUUAAUUUUUAAAUAAUUUUUAUUUAUGACGUCAUCCGGUUCGACCCCUAUCGACUCCCGGUCGAACCCAUUGACCCCUGACCCCUGACCUCGGCCGAGUCGCUAUCCGGUCCGGUUCUGAAAACAUAGGUAGUGGGGAUUAGUCGGGACCCCGCAAAAAUUGAUCCAGAUACCCCUGUGUUGACAAAAAAAAAAAAAAAAAAGACAACACGAAGUAGACUAUUAUUGUUUGUUACUUGAGACAUCCAAACGAGGGUUGCCAACGUAUGACAAUUUGGCCGGCAUUGAUUGAUUUCUGGCUUCUUUUGCAUGAAUGGGAUGUGUGAAGGCUUGUGAUUUGCAUCAUUUACAACUACCCGUGCCUAUGCGUGAGUUGACGCUGCUGAUUGCUUUAUUCCAAAAAUUUGAAGAAAAAAAAAAAAAAAGGCAGCUUCAUCAAACCCAACUGCGGGGAGGACUCGGUCCAAAGACAGGACCCAGAGAUCGCUGAUAAACCAAUUCCUACGACAACACAAUUUAUGAUGUUUUUGGUACAACGAUAAUUCCUCUUUGUAUUGUUGCGAUUAUACAAUAGUAGUAACAAAUUAAACUGCAUGCCUCGACAAAUUUACCACCGAUUCCGCUGCGGAGUAUGUGUUAUUAAUUCAAUCUGACGGGGCAGAGGGAUUGAAAGUGGAAGUGCUACAAUCACGUUAAUACAAGUCUCUAUUUUGAAGAGGGAACAUGACAAGAGCUCAGAUAUCCAUUCAAAGUGACAGAAGAAACAUGACAAGAGUUUUUGUUGUUUUUCCAUCCAUCAGAAUCAAACUACUGUUUGCUUUGAGCCCUCAGAUGAAGCUGCCCACUGGCUUUCAUUUAUGCAUUGGACAGCAACCAUUCCUCAUCCUCCCUAAUCAUUGCCACCCUACAUGGUUUAACAACAAUAACAAACUACAGUGUAUCACUCCAGUGCCUUGUUGAAUUUUCAACUCGCUGGAGCCUAGCUCCAUGCUUGAUAACACUUUGAAUCCACUAAGACUCCAGACAUACCCCGAGAAAAAAGGAAACACGAUCCACCAGCAUGUGAUGUAAGUCCCAAGAAUGAAUGAUCCCAUCCCAGUUAAUGCAAUCACACAAUCAAUCUUGCAUCUCAUCUCCAUACCUCUCCUUUUAUUAUUAAGCACUACCAAAGGAGGAGAUCCUCUUGCUGACCAUGACUCUUUGUGCCAUGACUUUUAGCAGUAAAAUUUCCACCCCAAAAAAAAAUAAAAAAUCAUUUGACUAAGUACCUGAUUCAGAUUAUAUCGUACGGUUGCUUCAUAUCCAAAUCAAUAUAAUCAGCAGACAUGACCAGCCUGAUCUUGCACUAAAGAUUGAAAGGAAGUAUGUAACAGGAGUGAAUUUGUUCAACUUCACUACCAUGGAGACAAUGUCGUCACCUGCAGUUGUCCGUAUUACAUGGAAGGUUGCUUCUCCCUUUCACUGCAACAGAACUUUCUUCCAUGGGUUGGUAGAAAGGAAGACCAGGCCUGAAAAAAUAACAGUCAGCAAAGUGAAAGCAGAAAAGACCAUGCCUCAACAAAUUUACAUGCACCAAUGUUGUUAACCAAAUAAGAUUACAGAAUCAGACAAAAAUGGCUGUAAACACUUCCCAAGAUUCUGCAAAUGCUGCUCCUGAUGAGAAAUAUAUUGAGGCAACCAGCAUGCAAAGUGUGAAAUUCUCAAUCACUAACUGCAAGAGUUUAGUAGUUGGUACUUGCUUUUCAGUGGCUUUCUCAUAGAGUUGCUAGCUGGGUUCAACUUAUAAUUUGGCUCAAUGGGGUAGAGGAGAUACAAUACCAAGAAAUUUGUAUUUCACGUAGUGAUUUCUGUACAGAUUUGCUCAGCAGUGCUAAAUUCGGAAAAAGACACUAAAAAAGAAAGAAGUAAGAAAAAACUUUAAGAACUUUCCUAAAACUCUCCUUCACUACUUUUUAAAGUGUAUGAUACCAUCACAAGCAAGAGUGCCUUCUAGAUCUCCAAUAAUUCGAGAUAUCCUAAUUUCAAGACCUCUUUGGACUUCUC
rnacentral:lncRNA from 1 species